UACAGAGGUCUCAAGCGUUGUUCGGAUUCAUUGGGCGUAAGGGGUGCGUAGGUGGCGCCGUAAGUGGGGUGUGAAAUUUCGGAGCUUAACUCCGAAACUGCAUUCCAUACUGCGGUGCUUGAGGACUGGAGAGGAGACUGGAAUUUACGGUGUAGCGGUGAAAUGCGUAGAUAUCGUAAGGAAGACCAGUGGCGAAGGCGGGUCUCUGGACAGUUCCUGACGCUGAGGCACGAAGGCCAGGGGAGCAAACGGA
rnacentral:rRNA from 1 species